rnacentral:rRNA from 1 species
GCAAGUCUGGUGCCAGCAGCCGCGGUAAUUCCAGCUCCAAUAGCGUAUAUUAAAGUUGUUGCAGUUAAAAAGCUCGUAGUUGAAUUUCGGGAUCAAGGGAUCGGUCAUGCCUUGGUAUGUACUGGUUUUAUUGGUUCUCACCUUCUAAAGAACCAUGAUGUCAUUCAUUUGAUGUUAUGGGGAAUUAGGACUGUUACCUUGAAAAAAUUAGAGUGUUUAAAGCAAGCUUACGCUUGAAUACAUUAGCAUGGAAUAAUGAAAUAGGACAUCAGAUUCUAUUUUGUUGGUUUCUAGGAUCGAUGUAAUGAUUAAUAGGGAUAGUUGGGGGCAUUAGUAUUCAAUUGUCAGAGGUGAAAUUCUUGGAUUUAUUGAAGACUAACUACUGCGAAAGCAUUUGCCAAGGAUGUUUUCAUUAAUCAAGAACGAAAGUUAGGGGAUCGAAGACGAUCAGAUACCGUCGUAGUCUUAACCAUAAACUAUGCCGACUAGGGAUCGGAUGAUGUUAAUUUUUUAAUGACUCAUUCGGCGCCUUACGGAAAC